GUUUAGUUUCACUUCCACCAGGAUCGUGUCGCAGGUAUUUUUCUCUCCGUGUCAACCUCCGUCUGAAGGUGCAGCCCUGACUGGUUCCAGGAAGUAUCUCACCUGAGUCUCUAGUGUCCAGGUGUGGAGUGGAGACUCUUCUUCUUCUUCAGCUCUUUGAAUAAACGCUGAGUCUGGUUUGUCUUAGGGUCAGGGUUCACUAACUGUUUCUGUCUGUCAUGUUUGGAGAAGAUGUUCACUACAGAGUUUGGAUCACAGCAGCUUUAACUGACAGAAUCAGAGCCAAUCAGUGGAGGAUCAGCUGAUGUUUUUACAGCACAAAUGAUUCCAGUGAAUGUUCAGAUGAAUGAUUUGUGUUUCCUCUGCACAUGAAGGUAGAAAGUUGAUGUGGAUUCAGCAGCAUGGACCAGAGGGAGGACAAAGAGGAGGGAGUCAGACAUCUGCAGGACGGGUUGACUGGUUUCAGUUGUCAUUCAGAAUCAGACUCAGAAUCUGACCCCAGCUUUGUGUCCUUAAAGAGUGAUCACUCACUUGAUCGUGCCAUUGAUUUUAAAGGACAUCAACCCUCUGCUCCUGAGAGGAUCAGUCCAGACCCCAGCUGUGUUUCCCUCAACAGUGAUCAGUCACAUCAUCGCAUCAUUGAAUUUAAAGGACAUCAACCCUCUGCUCCUAAGAGGUAAACCAGUGUCCAGCUUCAUCCAUGAGUCAGAGGAGACUAGCUCCUUUCUACAGUUUCCACUUUAACCUGUGGAGGUUGAUUUGAGAAGCAGGCUUUGGAUCAUAGGACACUGGUUUGAAUGGUAACUGACAGGUAGAACAUGUGUGUGGGUGGAGUGAAGAAGCCAUAUCCAUGGUAGG